rnacentral:rRNA from 1 species
AACGAACGCUGGCGGCGUGGAUAAGACAUGCAAGUCGGACGAGAUUUUUCGUUGUAGCAAUACGAUGGAAAGUCUAGUGGCGAACGGGUGCUUAACACGUGGGCAACCUGCCAUGAAGUGGGGGACAGCUCGCCGAAAGGCGAAUUAAUACCGCAUGUGAUUAGAGAGGACAUCCUUUCGAAAUUAAAGUCGGGGCAACCUGACGCUUCUUGUGGGGCCCGCGGCCUAUCAGCUAGUUGGUGAGGUAACGGCUCACCAAGGCUUUGACGGGUAGCUGGUCGGAGAGGACGACCAGCCACACUGGGACUGAGACACGGCCCAGACACCUACGGGUGGCAGCAGUCGAGAAUUUUUGACAAUGGGGGAAACCCUGAUCGAGCGACGCCGCGUGGAGGAUGAAGGUCUUCGGAUUGUAAACUCCUGUCAUUGGGGAACAAUGCACAGAUAUUAACUGUAUUUGUGUUGAUAGUACCCGAAGAGGAAGAGACGGCUAACUCUGUGCCAGCAGCCGCCGUAAGAC